rnacentral:rRNA from 1 species
UACGUAGGGGGCAAGCGUUGUCCGGAUUUAUUGGGCGUAAAGAGCGUGUAGGCGGCCAGACAGGUCCGUUGUGAAAACUCGAGGCUCAACCUCGAGAUGUCGAUGGAAACCGUCUGGCUAGAGUCCGGAAGAGGAGUGUGGAAUUCCUGGUGUAGCGGUGAAAUGCGCAGAUAUCAGGAAGAACACCGGUGGCGAAGGCGCUCUGCUAGGCCGCAACUGACACUGAGGGACGAAAGCUAGGGGAGCGAAUGGG